rnacentral:misc_RNA from 1 species
UCGGCGACCUUCUCUUUACG